UAGCAAACUGUGCAAUUGAAUAAACC
rnacentral:piRNA from 1 species